rnacentral:rRNA from 1 species
AGAACGAACGCUGGCGGCAGGCUUAACACAUGCAAGUCGAGCGCCCAGCAAUGGGAGCGGCGCACGGGUGAGUAACACGUGGGAAUAUGCCCUUUGGUUCGGAAUAACGUAGGGAAACUUGCGCUAAAUACCGGAUAAGCCCUUCGGGGGAAAGAUUUAUCGCCAUUGGAGUAGCCCGCGUCCGAUUAGCUUGUUGGUGAGGUAACGGCCCACCAAGGCAAUGAUCGGUAGCUGGUUUGAGAGAACGACCAGCCACACUGGGACUGAGACACGGCCCAGACUCCUACGGGAGGCAGCAGUGGGGAAUCUUGGACAAUGGGGGAAACCCUGAUCCAGCCAUGCCGCGUGAGUGAAGAAGGCCUUAGGGUUGUAAAGCUCUUUUGGCGGGGACGAUAAUGACGGUACCCGCAGAAUAAGCCCCGGCUAACUUCGUGCCAGCAGCCGC